rnacentral:rRNA from 1 species
GUCGAACGGUGAAGCCCUUCGGGGUGGAUCAGUGGCGAACGGGUGAGUAACACGUGGGCAAUCUGCCCUGCACUCUGGGACAAGCCCUGGAAACGGGGUCUAAUACCGGAUACGACCUUCCUCCGCAUGGGGGUUGGUGGAAAGCUCCGGCGGUGCAGGAUGAGCCCGCGGCCUAUCAGCUUGUUGGUGGGGUAAUGGCCUACCAAGGCGACGACGGGUAGCCGGCCUGAGAGGGCGACCGGCCACACUGGGACUGAGACACGGCCCAGACUCCUACGGGAGGCAGCAGUGGGGAAUAUUGCACAAUGGGCGAAAGCCUGAUGCAGCGACGCCGCGUGAGGGACGACGGCCUUCGGGUUGUAAACCUCUUUCAGCAGGGAAGAAGCGCAAGUGACGGUACCUGCAGAAGAAGCACCGGCUAACUACGUGCCAGCAGCCGCGGUAAUACGUAGGGUGCGAGCGUUGUCCGGAAUUAUUGGGCGUAAAGAGCUCGUAGGCGGCCUGUCGCGUCGGAUGUGAAAGCCCGGGGCUUAACCCCGGGUCUGCAUUCGAUACGGGCAGGCUAGAGUGUGGUAGGGGAG